AUGCAGAGAACUUUCCAGAGAUGGAUUGGUGGCCUUCGGGAACUCUGACACAGGUGCUGCAUGGCUGUUGUCAGCUCGUGUCGUGAGAUGUUGGGUUAAGUCCCGUAACGAGCGCAACCCUUGUCCUUAGUUACCAGCACGUUAUGGUGGGCACUCUAAGGAGACUGCCGGUGACAAACCGGAGGAAGGUGGGGAUGACGUCAAGUCAUCAUGGCCCUUACGGCCUGGGCUACACACGUGCUACAAUGGUCGGUACAAAGGGUUGCCAAGCCGCGAGGUGGAGCUAAUCCCAUAAAACCGAUCGUAGUCCGGAUCGCAGUCUGCAACUCGACUGCGUGAAGUCGGAAUCGCUAGUAAUCGUGAAUCAGAAUGUCACGGUGAAUACGUUCCCGGGCCUU
rnacentral:rRNA from 1 species